rnacentral:lncRNA from 1 species
GGGAGGCCUGUCAAGUUGGAGGCCAAUUUUGUGCUAUUAAACAGAUCAGGCCUUGUAAUUAAAGAAAAUGUCAGGCUGUCAUAUUUUACAAGAGAGCCAUGGGAGUAUUUUCACGCAGUUUUCAAGCAAAUUAGAAAAUAUGCAGACCUGCUGGAGCCAAACACAUACACCCAACCUAGCAUAAGUUUGUGCAGAAACUAAAUCAAUGUUCAAAUGGUAUGUGAUUCAUUGGCUUUCUAUUUUCCCAAGACUCAGUGAUUUAAGGAAUAAUUUAUGAUUCCUGGCUUUAAUAACAUGCGCUACUGCAUCAACUUAAAAUGUAUCAAACUCUUCUGAAAGAAAGUAACAUCCAAAUGAAAAGCUAAUUUACUGUCAGGAUAAUGGAGACUGUCCAAACCAUACUCUGUAGCCUUUGCUUCCUUUCUGUUUCUUUUCAGUUCCAACUAUAAAUCAUAACUGCUCACUCUGUUUUUAUUAUAUAUUUCUUUAUUCUUUUGUCCAUUCAAGAAAGAUUUACAGAGAACCUACAAAUAAAGAGCUGUUGAAGAGCUCCUAGUAGAAAAACAGACCAAUAAACAAAAAUGAUAUCACAUCUGUUGUAAUAUAUUCAUAGUACAAGUGCUUUCAAAAGAUAAGGGAGUGACAUAUUUAGGAAGUUUUCACAAACCAUAUUGAGAAGAGUUUGGGUUUACUGUAUAAAAGAUUAGGAGUCUUUAAGCAUUUUUAUAAGAAAAUAUAAAGGCUUAUUAAUGAUUUAGGAUUGAUUUCUAGGGAAUACUAGAAAAUUUAUAAUAAUAAAAUAUAGAGCUUUUACAAGUAGAAAAUAGUGUAUUGAAAUACCAAGAAGAAAGUGAACCAAGAACACAAAUGAACAAAAUGCCCAAGGAGGAAUUCCACAUGGGUAUUAGCAUUAAGAAAAAAUAUCCAUCCAUUAUUUCUUUAAAUAUUAAUUUUGUCACAAUCUGUCCUUUCUGGAAAUCUUAUUGUAUAUAUGUUAGGACUUUAUAUCUCUAGUUCUUUAUAUUUCUAGGUUUCAUUUAGGCUUUAUAUCUCUCAUUCUUAAUAUUCCCUCUCAAUUCUGCGUAUUUUCUAUUAACUUGUCUUCAAAUUUACUAAUGUUAUCUUUGGCUUUAUUGAGUCUGCUGUCAAGCCCAUUCAAUGAGUUAGUAAUUCUUGAUGCUGUAUGUUGCAACUCUAAAAUAUAAAUUUAAUUUGUAUAUACAUUAUAAUUCUAUAUUGAGAUACUUGAUCUUUCAUCUCUUUUCUAUAUUUUUUAUUUAAAGUAAAUCAUGGUUAUUUUGAAAUUAUUUUCUGCUAACUCCAAUGUCUGGAUCAUUUAUGGGCAUGUGUCUAUCCACUGUUUUGUAACAUUUUAUCAAUUUUUCUAUUUCUUUAAAAUUUUAUUUUGUUGUUGCUGUUACAACCCAGCAAGUGGGUUCCUCACUGGGCAAUUAAAACAACAAAUACUGAGACAAAACUCUUAUGCAGAAAGAAAAGGCUUUAUUGCAGGGGGAUAAGCAAGGAAAUAGGAGGCAAAGCUCAGAUCUGAUUGGCUUUUGAGCAAGAUAUUUAUUGUGGGAGUAGGGAGUAGGGAGUAGGAGGGUGUUAGGGCUAAGAAAUAGUUGGUGAAAUGGUAAAGGUAUGUUUCCUCUGUUCAGACACAACUGUCUUUACUCUCUUCGUGGGACACUUGUGCAAAUUUGGGGCAUGAGUGGGGUACAGGAGGGUUUCUGUGUGUUACAUAUGGAAUUUUGGCAUAGGACGUCCAAAGUUUCACUGAUGGGUCAUUCUAGCCCCUCAAUAUCCUGUGCAGCAUUCGCUCAGAGGAAGUGGUUGGCAGAUUUCUUCCACCUCUGUGGUUUUUCUGUUGUACUGUAAGUUCAGCUCAAAAGUCUUACUUAGUCAUUUACCCAGUGAGGGAAGGGCACAAUUUCUCUGUUUUAUUUUGUUUUGUAUGCUGAAUGUUUUGAUACAUGCUGUUGAGAUCCUGAUUUUUGUCUUCUAAAAAAUGGUGUACAUUGGUCUAGUAGGCACCUUUAUCCUGAACAGCCCUAGAUUUUGCUUUGUAAGAUGGGUCUCCAAUAGAUUUUUUACCCCCUUGGGCUUAACGCAUAGUUGUUAUUCUUGCUCCAAGUGGCAGGUCCUCUGUGGGGUUCCAGUGGAGAGUACAGGGUGUCCACUAGCCAGGACACUAAUGUCUUCUCUGCACUGGAAGAUCUGAUUCUUCACUUGUUCUCAGCUUCCCAAAAGCUGCUAUCUCUAGGAAUUUCUCUAGUUCUUCCCUAUUCUUUUUACAGUCCAGAAAUUGGCCAAGGGUCUGAAAAGUAUUUCCAUACAAAUGUUUGUGAUACCUGGUACACUCUUCUUUAUUCAGAACCCUGCUCCACCAAAAACAAAUACUUCUAUCACAGCUGCAACCUGUAAAGUAUGCCUUCUCCAUUUAUCAAGACCAUUGGUUCUUGUUUGGGAUCUACCUCCCCUACACUGAAGCCCCGAAAUAUCUCAAGACAUAGGUGAAGGUGGUACUCACUUUGUGCUCUCACCCCUCUCUAAAAAAUUCUACAUCGGUUAUUGUUGAAUGCCAACAAUUCAUUGUUUUAUAUAAUAACACAUAGAAAACACUUGUUUCAUAUAAUUCUAUUCAGGAAUAAAUACAUAGAUUAAUCUCAAAUUUGCUUGCUUAGUGAAAGACAGACAAAAGUGAUAAUAGCAAAUGAUUCUAUUAUAUAAACAGCUAUAAAAUACAAAGUAAUCUAUAGUGUCAGAAAGUGGAGCAGCAGUUACCUGAUAAUGAUAUCAGGGGGAAGAAUUACAAAGAGACAUAAGGAAACUUUUAAGGACAUUAAAACUAUUCAUUACCUUGGUUGAGGUGAAGGCCUCAUGUGUGUGUACAUGUAAUAUAACUCAUAAAAUUGUACACUUUAUGUAUAAUUUAGAGUAUAUCAGUUUACCUCAAAAGUUGUGAAUACAUGUUUAUGUAUUUGUAUAAGUUUAGAUAUGUAGAUAUAAAGAGAGAAAUGUAUAGCAAAAUCAUAAAUCAAUAUAGUAAUCAACAUAGCCACAUAAUAAUAUAGUUAUUUUCUAAAGCAAUAUCUUUUUUUUGACUUCUGUGUUUCUAUAGAAAUUUUAAAAUUAUUUGUUCUAGUUCUAUGAAAAAUGCCACUGUGGAAACUAAUAUGGAGGUUUCUCAAAAAACUAAAAAUAGAACUACCAUGUAACCUAGAAAUUCCACUGCUGGGUGAAUAUCAGAAAACAGAUAAAAACACUUAUUCAGAAGGAUACAUGCAUCCCAGUGUUCAUAGCUGCCAUAUUUAUUGUUCCAAAGGUAUGAAAUCAAGCAGUGUGUCCAUCGUUAGAUUAAUGGAUAAAGCAGAGGUGGUAUAUGUAUACAAUGGAAUACUAUUCAGCCACAAAAGAACAAAAUUUUGCCCUUUUCAGUAAUAUGGAAGGAUUAGAGGACAAUAUGCUACAUGAAAUAAAUCAGAGAAAGACAAAUGCUGUAUGACAUCACUUAUAUGUGGAAUCUAAAGAAAUAUAGCUAGUAAAUUUGACAAAACAAGAGGCAGGUUCACAGGAAUAAAGAAUGAACUAGUUAUUACCAGUGGCAAGAGGUAUGGGGAGGGGCAAUACAAAAGUGAGGGAGUGAGAGGUACAAGCUAUUGUCUAUAAGAUAGAAAACAAGGAUAUAUUCCACAACAUGGGGGAUAUAGACAGUAUUUUGUAAUAACUGUUACGGGAAAGUACAUUUAAAAUUGUAUAAAAAUAACAAAUAGUAAAAGCAUAAAAUGUUUCAACUUCUUAGACCCCAAGUCCCAAGGAAAUGUUUUACAUUGAAAACAAAUAUGUUUUCAGAAAGACAUUUAUGGCAGCAUAAUUUAAAAUCUCAAAAACUGAAUAUAAGAUAAAUUUCCCACAACAGUAUUUUUAAAUAUGGUAUAACCAUAUGAUGGAUUAUGAUGCUAAUUAUUACAUUGGAAAACCUUUCAUAAAGUUUUUUGCCCUUUGCUACCCUGUUGAGUUGUUAUAUCACAUAGAAUUAAAUUCUCUUGUCACAAGUGUAUAUCUUAAUGUUUUGAAAAAUAUAUACACCUGUGUAACCACUAUCCCAGUCUAAAUAUAGGAUAUUUUGAUAAUCUGAGAAGAAGCCUUUUCAUACUUUAAUUCACUUCUCACUACAAAUAGGCAACUACUUGCUGAUUUAUAUCACCGUAGAUAAGUUUUCCUUGUUCUUGAAAUCAAUACAAAUGAUAUCAUGUAGUAUAUACCUUUCCAUUUUGAAAUUUUCCUUUCAGUAAUGUUUGAGAUUUGUUAAUUCUGUUGUAUAUAUCAGAAGUCUUUCUUUUUAUUUGCAAAAAUGUAUCAGAAUUUUCAACAUUCUGUUGGUUGAAUUUUUUCAAAUAUUUGUCCUCCUUUAUUAGGAUCAGCAUGUGCCUUUUUCUGUCCUUUAUUGCAUUAAUAUAUUAAUUUGACUGUUUUUAAGUAGGAAAUUCAUCUGACUUUUAUUCUUACUGUGCCACAGUAUAUUUUUAUAUGUCUUACUAUGUCAUGAUAUACUGUAUUUUACAUGUUGCCAGAUUUGCUUUGCUAAUUUUUUUUUGUCAAAGAAUUUUGUGUCUGUAUUUAGAAGGCUGUUUUCAUAUAUAUAUAUUUCUAUCUUAUAAUUCUAGUCUCAGAUUUUAGUUUUAGGGUUGUGCUGACCUCAUAAAAUGAGAUGGGGAGUUCCCACUGUGGCUCAGUGGUAGCAAACCCAACUAAUAUCUAUGAGGAUGUGGUUGGAUCACUGGCUGUGCUUAGUGGGUGGAGAAUCCGUCAUUGCCUUGAGCUGUGGAGUAGGUCACAGAUGCAGCUCAGAUCUGGCGUUGCUGUGGCUAUCUAUGGUUUAGGCCUUUAGCUCUGAUUUGGCCCCUAGCCUGGGAACCUCUAU